GACGAACGCUGGCGGCGUGCUUAACACAUGCAAGUCGAACGGAAAGGCCCUGCUUUUGUGGUGUGCUCGGGUGGCGAACGGGUAAGUAACACGUGAGUAUCCUACCCUAGACUUUGGGAUAACUUCAGGAAACUGGGGUUAAUCCCGGAUAGGAUAUCCUGCUGCAUGGAGGGGGGUGGAAAGUUUCGGCGGUUGCGGAUGGAUUAGCGGCUGAUCGGCUAGUUGGUUGGGUAGGUGAUUACCAAGGCUUUGACGGGUAGCCGGCCUGGGAGGGUGGCCGGCCACCAUGGGACUGCGGUACGGCGCAGACUGCUACGGGAGGCAGCAGUGGGGAAUAUUGCACAAUGGGCGGACGCCUGAUGCAGAAACGCCGCGUGCGGGAUGACGGCCUUCGGGUUGUAAACCGCUUUCGCCUGUGACGAAGCGUGAGUGACGGUAAUGGGUAAAGAAGCACCGGCUAACUACGUG
rnacentral:rRNA from 1 species